rnacentral:sRNA from 1 species
CCCUCUUGAGCUCUUGUGGUGACCUGGGAAUCAAUGUGUGAGGUGGUGCUAUGUAGCAGGAACCCCUCUUGCUUUGCAAAUAGUUUUUUGUUUGUUUUCCUUUUUGCCCAAUAGAGCCCUGCUCUACUGACCCUUCAAUGUGCCCGUGUGCCUAAAUAUUCCUGGUCGUGUGAAAAGAACCCAGGUAUUAGCUGAACUAAGGAGCACAAUUCUGCAACAUUUUGGCACCCAAACACGGGGCUUGAGAAAUGAAUGCAAUUGGAGAAACUGGUUGUUUUACCAGGCGUUGAUUGGAAAUGUGUGCUUCCCUUUAAGCAGUCAAGCUCAACUUGCAGAACUGAUGGGAACCCCUUGGGAAAACUGGCCUCAAAUGUUUGUCUACACAGUCCACAUACAGGGUUCUUAACCUGCGAUGGAGUCUUGUUCUGUGGUCCAGGCUAGAGGGCAGUGGCAUGAUCUCGGCUCACUACAAGCUCUGCCUCCCGGGUUCACGCCAUUCUCCUGCCUCAGCCUCCUGAGUAGCUGGGACUACAGGCGCCCGCCACCACGCCUGGCUAAUUUUUUGUAUAUUUACUAGAGAUGGCUAGUGUUAGCCAAGAUGGUCUCGAUCUCCUGACCUCGUGAUCUGCCCACCUCAGCCUGCCAAAGUGCUGGGAUUACUGGCGUGAGCCACCGUGCCUGGCCAGCAUCCUCUAAUUAUUAUUCAUAGUUUGUGAAUUUAGGCCUACGUGAAUAAUAAUAUAAUAUUUACUAUGAUGUUACUAUCUACCAACCUUAUUUUUCUUUUCUAUAAAAUAGGAGCCAAAAUAAUAUUUAUGUCAUACCUUAUGAAGUUAAAAUAAAAUAUAACGAAUGAGGGGCUUAACAAUGAGUGUCAUUUUGUAAUUACUUUGUACCAUUAUUAAUUGCUGAGACAGAAUAUGGUAUCACUAGUCAUCUGUAUCUAUUGCACAACUUUAUUUUGAUUCAUUCCUUACUAUUUUGCAUAGAUAGGCCUAAAUUUUUGAUCCACUGCUCAACUCCUGUCUUUAAACCAUUGGUUCUCAAAUAGAGUUGAUUUUGACACCUAGGGAACAUUUGACAACAUAUGGAGAUAUUGUUGAUUUUACAGGGCAACCCUUCAUAAGCACAGAAUUAUCUGGCCCCAAAUGUCGACAGUGUCAAGUUCGAGAAACUCUGCACUAGGCUUUUCUGUCUGGUUACUCACCCCUCUUCUUUGCACUGCCCCCAGUUUUAUGGAUAUUGAAUUCCUGAUUUCUCACUAUAUUAAUUGCACUUAUAGAUAUUCUAAAUUGAUUUGUAUAUAUCUUCCUAGUUUGACCCAUUGCUUUUAACUGAAUUUUACUGGGCUUUUAUAAAGGCCAUUUCCAUGGAGUUUAGUCAUUAUCUUCACCAAAUUUUUAUUUGCUUCAGUCUGGGGAGGAACUCUAUAUUAAAAAAUAAAAACAAACCCAAAAA